CAUGCAACAGAAGUGGACCAAGCCCACGAGGGCUGGAUCCGAGGUGGAGUGGACAGAAGACCUGGCACUGUAAGGAGUAACCCUGCCCUGACGCCAUGCUCCAGAGCAGAGAGGAUCAAACCAUUCCAGCACAGUCCUUGCAGGAAUCAGCUCUGUUUUUAGUAGCCUUUGGCGUGAGCCCCUAUUGUACGUCAGGCCCUGGCAUGGGUCUUAGGGAUACAGACUUGACCAAGAUACAGCCCCCACCCCUGGGUCAAUGACAAGCUUGAGGCAGAGACAGGUGUACAUAAAGAAGAUGGUACAACCGCUCCAGUUGAGGUUUGUAUAAUAUGCCAUCAGAGUGCCUAGAUUGGGGGGGAGAUUAAUUCCCAUGAGGGAAUAAGGAUCAGAGUAGGCUUCAUGGAGGAGAUGACUUUUAAACCACACUUUAGAGCAAGAGUAGGAUUUCAUCAGAGUGUGAAAGCAUUCUCGGCAGAGGGAAGAGCUGGAGCAAAUGAAAGAGGGUGGUUUGCAACUGAGAAACUGGCAAGACAGGAGGAGCAGGACCAGGGAGGAUUUGAAUGCAUAGCUGAGAAGCAUGGUUUCCACUCAGGCCCUGUCCCUUUCUCUUGGGACGAGAGAGAAUUUGGAGGCCAGGAGAAUCUGAUUGGAGCAUUUGUGCCAUUUUAUUUAUGUACACAGCUCUCUGCCUCUGGCCUGUGAUCCACUCAAGUGUGGGUUCAGCUUGCUAAUCUUCCCCUUCCUGCCCCAUCUCCUCUUGUCCCACAGGGAUCUGGGCCCCCAGAGCCGGGAGCUGACCCUCAAAGUGCUGAGGAGCAGCAGCUGUGGAGACAGUGAGUGAGGGGUGGGAGGGGCACCCCUGGGUGGGUGCAGAGUGGGGUCUGGCCAUGGGCCCAGCUCACAGUGCCAUCCCUUUCCCCAGCUGAACUCCUAGGCCAGGCCACACUGCCUGUGGGCUCUCCCUCCAGACCACUGUCUCGAAGGCAGGUGUGCCCACUCACCCCAGGGCCAGGGAAAGCCCUGGGACCAGCAGCCACCAUGGCAGUGGAGCUUCAGUACGAGGAAGGCUCUCCCCGGAACCUGGGUACUCCCACCUCCUCCACUCCACGCCCCAGCAUCACACCUACCAAGAAGAUUGAGCUUGACCGGACCAUCAUGCCCGAUGGCACCAUUGUCACCACAGUCACCACCGUCCAGUCCCGGCCCCGUAUAGACGGCAAAUUAGGUAAAGAGAAGGAGCCUGGGAGCCCAGCUCUAGCCAGGGGUCCGGAACUGCAGACCCAAGGCAGGACAGUGAAAGAGGAGAGAAAGCCUUAAUUCCAACUCCCCCUGUUUUCAGACAUUCCAUUCCAGUCCUACCACAUCUUCCUCCCAAUCUUUGUCUCUUUCAAACUUUCCCUUACCUCCUGCCAUUUCCCCAGCAAUUCCUCUCACUCUGCCACCCUUCUGGAUCCUCCUGCCCCUCCUCACACAGGACUGUUGCACUCCCACCUUCCAGCUUCCCCCCUGGCUUUUCACAGGCGUCCUUAGCCCCAGCUGACUAUAAUUGUCCAUCCUGCUACCCUCAGCCCUCCAGCACCCCCUGGGGUCCUCCAACAAACCCAGAGGCCUCUGUGGCAUUUCUACCCCACUCAGUGGGCCC
rnacentral:sRNA from 1 species